AUGACUGAGAGAGGAAGAAAGAAGUGCCCUGUGCAUCCAGGAAAGUGGAUAGUGCCUAUUGGGCUCCUCUUGAGCAGCCACAGGAAAGAUUUAUACAGCUUCAGCCUGAUCCCUGACAAUGGAAUGCCAAUAAAUUUUCUUUUUAAAUGGGCCACUAAAAACCCCCAGUGGUGUUUUCUCAUCCCUUUAUAGCAGCUUUAAGGGAAAGUGUAAUUCUUUAAGGAAUUGCUUAGAAUCAUUUCCCCAUAUGGAAACAAGUUCUAGAUCUCUUAUCCACCUGAAUCUUUUCCUACCUCUGUGCAAUAAAAUAUGUUGGGGGGAUAUUUUUUUUUUCCCCACUAGUAACCCUGUAGGUAGGACAUCAUGGCCCACAGAGCACUCACAGUUGAAGAUUUCCAGACACUGGCUGGAAUAUUCAGAGAAUGGGAGGUGGUUGUGAUAACCAGGAACCACCCGCACAUCUUUCCGCAGCAGCACCAGAGAGGCCUGUGGUUUUGACACUAGACCUUCUCAUGAAGAGGGAGCUCUCUGGGAUCCUAAAAC
rnacentral:lncRNA from 9 species